rnacentral:rRNA from 1 species
GACGAACGCUGGCGGCGUGCCUAAUACAUGCAAGUUGAGCGCUGAAGGUUGGUACUUGUACCAACUGGAUGAGCAGCGAACGGGUGAGUAACGCGUGGGGAAUCUGCCUUUGAGCGGGGGACAACAUUUGGAAACGAAUGCUAAUACCGCAUAAAAACUUUAAACACAAGUUUUAAGUUUGAAAGAUGCAAUUGCAUCACUCAAAGAUGAUCCCGCGUUGUAUUAGCUAGUUGGUGAGGUAAAGGCUCACCAAGGCGAUGAUACAUAGCCGACCUGAGAGGGGGACCGGCCACAUUGGGACUGGGCACCGGCCCAAACCCCUCCGGGAGGCACCAGUGGGGAAUCUUCGGCAAUGGACGAAAGUUUGACCGGGCAACGCCGGGGGAGUGAAAAAGGUUUUCGGAUCGUAAAACUCUGUUGGUAGGGAAGAACGUGGGGGGGAGGGGAAAGCCCAUCAAGUGACGGUAAUUACCCAGAAAGGGACGGCUAACUACGG